CAGCAGCCGCGGUAAUACGAAGGGGGCUAGCGUUGUUCGGAAUUACUGGGCGUAAAGCGCACGUAGGCGGAUAUUUAAGUCAGGGGUGAAAUCCCAGAGCUCAACUCUGGAACUGCCUUUGAUACUGGGUAUCUUGAGUAUGGAAGAGGUGAGUGGAAUUCCGAGUGUAGAGGUGAAAUUCGUAGAUAUUCGGAGGAACACCAGUGGCGAAGGCGGCUCACUGGUCCAUUACUGACGCUGAGGUGCGAAAGCGUGGGGAGCAAACAGGAUUAGAUACCCCAGUAGUCCCUGUCUCUUAUAU
rnacentral:rRNA from 1 species